CCUACGGGAGGCAGCAGUGAGGAAUAUUGGUCAAUGGCCGGAAGGCUGAACCAGCCAUGCCGCGUGAAGGUCAGUGCCCUAUGGGCGUUAAACUUCUUUUGUGCGGGAGCAAUAAUGGUCACGUGUGGCCAGACGAGAGUACCGUACGAAUAAGCAUCGGCUAACUCCGUGCCAGCAGCCGCGGUAAUACGGGGGAUGCAAGAGUUAUCCGGGUUUAUUGGGUUUAAAGGGUGCGUAGGCUGUGAGGUAAGUCAGCGGUGAAAUGCCCCAGCUCAACGGGGUGAAGUGCCAUUGAUACUGCCGUGCUGGAAUGCGGAUGCCGGAGGAGGAAUGUGUGGUGUAGCGGUGAAAUGCAUAGAUAUCACACAGAACACCGAUUGCGAAGGCAUCUCACGAAUCCGCGAUUGACGCUGAUGCACGAAAGCGUGGGUAUCAAACAGGAUUAGAUACCCGUGUAGUC
rnacentral:rRNA from 1 species